UGCAGAAUCCCGCGAAUCAUCGAGUCUUUGAACGCAAGUUGCGCCCGAAGCCAUUCGGCCGAGGGCACGUCUGCCUGGGUGUCACGC
rnacentral:rRNA from 1 species